GUAGGUGGCAAGCGUUGUCCGGAAUUAUUGGGCGUAAAGCGCGCGCAGGCGGUUCUUUAAGUCUGAUGUGAAAGCCCACGGCUCAACCGUGGAGGGUCAUUGGAAACUGGAGAACUUGAGUACAGAAGAGGAAAGCGGAAUUCCACGUGUAGCGGUGAAAUGCGUAGAGAUGUGGAGGAACACCAGUGGCGAAGGCGGCUUUCUGGUCUGUAACUGACGCUGAGGCGCGAAAGCGUGGGGAGCAAACAGGGAUUAGAUACCCUGGUAGUCCACGCCGUAAACGAUGAGUGCUGAGUGUUAGGGGGGUUUUCCGCCCCCCUUAGUGCUGCAGCUAACGCAUUAAGCACUCCGCCUGGGAGUACGGCCGCAAGGCUG
rnacentral:rRNA from 1 species